rnacentral:rRNA from 1 species
AGCAGCCGCGGUAAUUCCAGCUCCAAUAGCGUAUAUUAAAGUUGUUGCAGUUAAAAAGCUCGUAGUUGAAUUUCGGGGUCAGUAGAUUGGUCAUGCCACUGGUAUGUACUGGCCUCACUAAUUCCUCCUUCCUGAUGAACCGUAAUGCCAUUAAUUUGGUGUUGCGGGGAAACUGGACUGUUACUUUGAAAAAUUAGAGUGCUUAAAGCAGGCUAACGCUUGAAUACAUUAGCAUGGAAUAAUGAAAUAGGACGUUCGAUCCUAUUUUGUUGGUUUCUAGGAUUGACGUAAUGAUUAAUAGGGAUAGUUGGGGGCAUUAGUAUUCAAUUGUCAGAGGUGAAAUUCUUGGAUUUAUUGAAGACUAACUACUGCGAAAGCAUUUGCCAAGGAUGUUUUAUUAAUCAAGAACGAAAGUUAGGGGAUCGAAGACGAUCAGAUACCGUCGUAGUCUUAACCAUAAACUAUGCCGACUAGGGAUCGGAUGAUGUUAAUUUUUUAAUGUAACUCUA